rnacentral:lncRNA from 1 species
GACCGCUUUCGCGAACUACUUUUCGCCGCCGCCCGUGGCUCCAGACGACCGAGGCAACUACGCGCCCUACUUCUACUACGCUCCUCCCCCGCCUCCUCCACCUCCACCACCUCCUCCCCCUCCUCAAGACCUUCCUCCUCCUCCCCAGCCAGCGCCCUACAAUACCACGAGAAAAAGUCGCGCCAAUAAAACUCAAGAAACAAUCCCUUGGUGAACUUCAUGGUGUACGGCGCGGUGGUGCUAGGCCUCCUGGCCAUCUUCACCCUGGCCGUCAUGUUUGCCUACGCGAUGGCAGGUAGAAAUUCUUGGCGAGGAAGAGAGGACCGGACAGAGGACGACCUUGGCGUCUACAGGCCACGUCUGACCGAUCACCCUGGGCUUCGGAGGAGGGCCUCAAUAGUUGCACCCUCGCCCAACAAGGCGUCGGAGUCACAUCUGCCCCGCGGUAGUAACGACGAAGACCAUCGUGCGGCCUGAUGCUUGCGAUACUUUUCGUCUCGGCACGCCAAUUUCUUACCAAUUUAGGCUUAUCGCUUUGACGAAUAAAGCGCCCGCGCUGCAUGUCAGCGAUAGCGCACCUUCUUUGUGCCCAUCGGCCUUGCU